rnacentral:rRNA from 1 species
CCUACGGGAGGCAGCAGUGAGGAAUAUUGGUCAAUGGACGAGAGUCUGAACCAGCCAAGUAGCGUGAAGGAUGACUGCCCUAUGGGUUGUAAACUUCUUUUAUAUGGGAAUAAAAUGUUCCACGUGUGGGAUUUUGUAUGUACCAUAUGAAUAAGGAUCGGCUAACUCCGUGCCAGCAGCCGCGGUAAUACGGAGGAUCCGAGCGUUAUUCGGAUUUAUUGGGUUUAAAGGGAGCGUAGGUGGAUUGUUAAGUCAGGUGUGAAAGUUUGCGGCUCAACCGGAAAAUUGCAGUUGAAACUGGCAGUCUUGAGUACAGUAGAGGUGGGUGGAAUUCGUGGUGUAGCGGUGAAAUGCUUAGAUAUCACGAAGAACUCCGAUUGCGAAGGCAGCUCACUGGACUGCAACUGACACUGAGGCUCGAAAGUGUGGGUAGCAAACAGGAUUAGAUACCCGAGUAGUC